GACAGAGGGUGCAAACGUUGUUCGGAAUUACUGGGCGUAAAGCGCGUGUAGGCGGCUUGGCAAGUCGGGUGUGAAAGCCCUGGGCUCAACCUAGGAAGUGCACUCGAAACUGCUUCGCUGGAGUGUCGGAGAGGAAAGCGGAAUUCUCGGUGUAGAGGUGAAAUUCGUAGAUAUCGAGAGGAACAUCGGUGGCGAAGGCGGCUUUCUGGACGAUUACUGACGCUGAGACGCGAAAGCGUGGGGAGCAAACAGG
rnacentral:rRNA from 1 species